CCUAAAUGAACUAGGAACAAACAUAAGUGCUGUGUGGCGUAACCGCUCCUCCCUCGGUACAAAACGUCUCAUGGCAUGUCGAAUUUGACAAGGAUCCAGGAGCAGAGCAUGAGGACUCUGUGGUAUAAUGUGAUGGUUAACACACGUCCUGAUGCUUGUUGUUGUUGUUGGAGAGAUCUUCAGUGUUGUGGUGACACGGCCUUGUUCAGAGUCACUGCCGCUCUCCUAUCAGCAAACACAGCACUGACCUUCGCACCCACUCAGCUUUAUAGCCUCUGUACAGUGUUAGGCUGUAGCUGGCGGCCUGGUAAGUGAAGCGUUACAGCAGGCAUGUAUGGACUGUCAGAGAGGAGCAACAAGGGUGGAAAAAAGUCACAUCAGCUGGAGUGACAGCGCUGGUUAAUUUGCUGUGGCUUUAAGCAGCGUACACAUACAUGGGCAUGGAGAAAGGCUUUUCACAGACUUUCUCCUCUCCAGAGUAUCGCUCCCAGAAUAUAGGUGACCCUGUGACCAUGGGCUGUUUAACUGAAUAGGUCCCAAAGGUUGCUGUUGCUGACAUUAGCGCUGGACCAUCACCAGCAGAGGCAGCAUGAACAACACUUUUGUGUUGUUAAGCUGCAGAUUUAUCACCUACUUUUUCCUGUUUUAAACAGUCCAAGCAGAAUGUGAAAGCUCCUCAAA